CGGGGGGCAGCAGUGGGGAAUCUUGCGCAAUGGGCGAAAGCCUGACGCAGCCAUGCCGCGUGAAUGAUGAAGGUCUUAGGAUUGUAAAAUUCUUUCACCGGGGACGAUAAUGACGGUACCCGGAGAAGAAGCCCCGGCUAACUUCGUGCCAGCAGCCGCGGUAAUACGAAGGGGGCUAGCGUUGCUCGGAAUUACUGGGCGUAAAGGGAGCGUAGGCGGAUAGUUCAGUCAGAGGUGAAAGCCCAGGGCUCAACCUUGGAAUUGCCUUUGAUACUGGCUGUCUUGAGUGUGGGAGAGGUUAGCGGAACUCCGAGUGUAGAGGUGAAAUUCGUAGAUAUUCGGAAGAACACCAGUGGCGAAGGCGGCUAACUGGCCCAUUACUGACGCUGAGGCUCGAAAGCGUGGGGAGCAAACAGGAUUAGAUACCCCAGU
rnacentral:rRNA from 1 species